UCUGGGCUAGAGUCCUAGAAGCUGGGUUAGAGUCCUAGAAUAUUUUCCUUUAGGUCGGUUUGUAGUCCCGACUUGGGUUCCAGAGAGACUGUUGAUCUGAUCUUAAAUACAUUGCACUUUCAAUUUUACUUACUAAAAAGCCUUUUUAACUUUCAAUUUAAUUUUCUCUUAAAUACUUUCUAUUUUACUCAUUUCUUGCAUAUGUUUUCUUUUACUUAUCUAUUAUUUUAUUUUAUUUUAUUGUAUGACAAUGUUUAUAUGUGAAGCACUUUGAGUCUGCCUUGUGUAUGAAAAGUGCUAUAUAAAUAAAGUUGCCUUGCCUUGCCUUGCCUUAAUCAU